UGGCUCAGAGGUUAAAGCAUCUGCCUGCAAUGCAGGAGACCCGAGUUCGAUCCCUGG
rnacentral:tRNA from 1 species